ACCACUGUAUGUUCAGGGGGCCAAUUAAAUGACUGCUAUGCGAGCUAAAUUUGAUUUGAGGAUUUUAAGCGUUACCACAAGGGCCUCUGAAGAGUGCAAUCUGUCCGGAAGUGUCGUUAAGAGUGGUAACUACUUUCCGAAUGUUCCUCGUGAAGUGUGGAUAGACGGGACAGGGAUUCGGGACCCCAUUACGCUAUCAUGUCAAUAAAGAGCUGGGGACUACGAGCGUGCGCUUAAAACUCGAAGGUCUUGGCGGCUCAGUACGCCUAGGUAGGGGAACUUGACGCUUAAUACGAUGAUCCGCGUUUAAUCUCAUCUUUUCUGGAUAAAUCAGGUGGUGUACGGCCGUAGGUAUGGGUGUAAGGUAACUGGACAGAAAUAUUCCGACAAGGCAGAGUGGCACAUAAUACAGGUCCUUGUGCCCCCAAUGGAAAGAGGUUAGUUGAGUUACUAAGUGGAGGAGCGGAGCUAGUGUUGAAAUAGCUCAGUGAAGAAGUACUUACUAGUAAGGAGGGAUUAGAACGCCCUGCUGAAUGGGGAACUACUGGGAGUACAGAUCGCCCGUCGCCCUCGGGGAAACCGGAGGUAAGUCGUAACA
rnacentral:rRNA from 1 species